rnacentral:rRNA from 1 species
UGGGGGAUAUUGCACAAUGGGCGAAAGCCUGAUGCAGCGACGCCGCGUGGGGGAUGAAGGCUUUCGGGUUGUAAACCUCUUUCGCUAUCGAACAAGGCCCGCUUAGGGUGGGUUGAGGGUAGGCGGAGAAGAAGCGCCGGCUAACUACGUGCCAGCAGCCGCGGUAAUACGUAGGGCGCGAGCGUUGUCCGGAAUUAUUGGGCGUAAAGGGCUUGUAGGCGGCUUGUUGCGCCUGCUGUGAAAACGCGGGGCUUAACUUCGCGCGUGCAGUGGGUACGGGCAGGCUUGAGUGUGGUAGGGGUGACUGGAAUUCCAGGUGUAGCGGUGGAGUGCGCAGAUAUCUGGAGGAACACCGAUGGCGAAGGCAGGUCACUGGGCCGUUACUGACGCUGAGGAGCGAAAGCAUGGGUAGCGAACAGG